GCGAUAGCGAGUGAGGAUAAGCUUUGCAAAGGCGAAGGAGGGUUCAACAAGUUCCGCAAAUGACUAUUUUGGAGAACCUAAACAACAUUGAGAAACCCUAACAAGAAAAAUGGUUGACUCUCGAAGAUCGUCGAUCAUCGCUUCUAGUGCCCGCAGGCUUUGCUCUUCCCUUUAUCACAAGAUCUUUCUUCCACCACCACAUUCUUGUUCAGGUAAGCAGGCCAGAAGAUUGGGAGAAACCCCCUGUCCAAAGAAAUAUUUUCUUGGGAAUUCAGAACUUUACGACUUUGUUGUUGUUUGAUGAGAUAGAUAAUGCUUCAAAGGAUUACAACGCAUACAAGAACAAGUUUAGGAAGGAUAAUAUGAAAAAAAUUGUAUUGUCAUAUUUUUUUAAUGGA